UACGUAGGGUGCAAGCGUUGUCCGGAAUUUAUUGGGCGUAAAGAGCUCGUAGGCGGCUUGUCGCGUCGAAUGUGAAAUCUCAGGGCUCAACUCUGACAUUGCAUUCGAUACGGGCAGGCUAGAGUUCGGUAGGGGAGACUGGAAUUCCUGGUGUAGCGGUGAAAUGCGCAGAUAUCAGGAGGAACACCGGUGGCGAAGGCGGGUCUCUGGGCCGAUACUGACGCUGAGGAGCGAAAGCGUGGGGAGCGAACAGG
rnacentral:rRNA from 1 species